rnacentral:rRNA from 4 species
AAACCAACAGGGAUUGCCCUAGUAACGGCGAGUGAAGCGGCAACAGCUCAAAUUUGAAAUCUGGCCCUCGGGUCCGAGUUGUAAUUUGCAGAGGAUGCUUUUGGCGCGGUGCCUUCCGAGUUCCCUGGAAUGGGACGCCUUAGAGGGUGAGAGCCCCGUACGGUUGGACACCAAGCCUCUGUAAAGCUCCUUCGACGAGUCGAGUAGUUUGGGAAUGCUGCUCUAAAUGGGAGGUAAAUUUCUUCUAAAGCUAAAUAUUGGCCAGAGACCGAUAGCGCACAAGUAGAGUGAUCGAAAGAUGAAAAGCACUUUGAAAAGAGGGUUAAAUAGCACGUGAAAUUGUUGAAAGGGAAGCGUUUGCGACCAGACCUCUUCCCGGCGGAUCAUCCGGUGUUCUCACCGGUGCACUUCGCCGGGUCGAGGCCAGCAUCGGUCUCUGUAGGGGGAUAAAAGCUCAGGGAACGUAGCUCCUUCGGGAGUGUUAUAGCCCUCUGCAUAAUGCCCUUACGGGGACCGAGGACCGCGCCUUCGGGCAAGGAUGCUGGCGUAAUGGUCGCCAACGAC